GCGGGGGGCGGAGUUGGUGGACCCAGCAGGCUGAAACUUCGCCGUCCUCACGGAUAUGUCGGUUCGUUUCCGACCGCCCGCACCA
rnacentral:tRNA from 2 species